rnacentral:sRNA from 1 species
AUUAAAGGUGGCUAGGGUUCCGGCCGUGGAUGACACGGGUGUCUGGUCCGAGAGCUGCCGCCAGACACGGCCUAUCGGCCCCGUCUGGUACACGGCGGGACAAAAGCCCGGGAGAU